UAUUAGGAGGAACACCAGUGGCGAAGGCGGCCUAUUGGGCUGUAACUGACGCUGAGGCUCGAAAGCGUGGGUAGCAAACAGGAUUAGAUACCCUGGUAGUCCACGCCGUAAACGAUGAUUACUAGGUGUGGGGGGACUGACCCCUUCCGCGCCGGAGUUAACACAAUAAGUAAUCCACCUGGGGAGUACGACCGCAAGGUUGAAACUCAAAGGAAUUGACGGGGGCCCGCACAAGCAGUGGAGUAUGUGGUUUAAUUCGAAGCAACGCGAAGAACCUUACCAGGUCUUGACAUCCAGAGAAUCCACCAGAGAUGGAGGAGUGCCUUCGGGAACUCUGAGACAGGUGGUGCGUGGUUGUCGUCAGCUCGUGUCGUGAGAUGUUGGGUUAAGUCCCGCAACGAGCGCAACCCUUACGAUUAGUUGCUACGCAAGAGCACUCUAAUAGGACUGCCGUUGACAAAACGGAGGAAGGUGGGGAUGACGUCAAAUCAUCAUGCCCCUUAUGACCUGGGCCACACACGUACUACAAUGGUGAUUAACAGAGGGAAGCAAAACCGCGAGGUAGAGCAAACCCCUAAAAAUCAUCCCAGUUCGGAUUGCAGGCUGCAACCCGCCUGCAUGAAGCCGGAAUUGCUAGUAAUCGCGGAUCAGCAUGCCGCGGUGAAUACGUUCCCGGGCCUUGUACACACCGCCCGUCACACCAUGAGAGUCGGUAACACCCGAAGNNNNNNNNCUAACCGCAAGGGGGGCGCUGCCGAAGGUGGGAUUGAUAAUUGGGGUGAAAUGGUAACAAGGUAGCCGUAA
rnacentral:rRNA from 1 species